GGACAGGUGGCUGAUUAAGCGGUGGGCUGUAAAUUCACUUAUGGGGAAAAUUCCUCCCGGUUCG
rnacentral:tRNA from 1 species